UACGUAGGGGGCAAGCGUUGCCCGGAUUUAUUGGGCGUAAAGAGCGUGUAGGCGGCCAUGUAGGUCCGUUGUGAAAACUCGAGGCUCAACCUCGAGACGCCGAUGGAAACCAUGUGGCUAGAGUCCGGAAGAGGAGAGUGGAAUUCCUGGUGUAGCGGUGAAAUGCGCAGAUAUCAGGAAGAACACCCGUGGCUAAGGCGGCUCUCUAGUACGGUACUGACGCUGAGACGCGAAAGCGUGGGGAGCGAACAGG
rnacentral:rRNA from 1 species